rnacentral:misc_RNA from 1 species
GUUGGUGAACCAGCGGAGGGAUCAUUACCGAGUUCAGACUCCAAACCCUGCGAACCUACCUCGACGUUGCUUCGGCGGACGCCCCGGGAGGCCGCCUCUGGCGCCGCCCGGAACCAGGCGUCCGCCGGGGGCCCAAACUCUUGCCUUCUGUAUUCUCUGGGUACCACAAAUGAAUCAAAACUUUCAACAACGGAUCUCUUGGUUCUG